AGUGAACGCUGGCGGUAGGCCUAACACAUGCAAGUCGAACGGCAGCACAGUAAGAGCUUGCUCUUACGGGUGGCGAGUGGCGGACGGGUGAGGUAUACAUCGGACUCUACUUUUUCGUGGGGGAUCACGUAGGGAAACUUACUCUAAUACCGCAUACGACCUACGGGUGAAAGCAGGGGAUCUUCGCAUCUUGCGCGAUUGAAUGCGCCGAUGUCGGAUUAGCUAGUUCGCGGGGUAAAGGCCCACCAAGGCGACGAUCCGUAGCUGGUCUGAGAGGAUGAUCAGCCACACUGGAACUGAGACACGGUCCAGACUCCUACGGGAGGCAGCAGUGGGGAAUAUUGGACAAUGGGCGCAGGCCUGAUCCAGCCAUACCGCGUGGGUGAAGAAGGCCUUCGGGUUGUAAAGCCCUUUUGUUGGGAAAGAAAAGCAGCAGGUUAAUACCCCGCGGUUCUGACGGUACCCAAAGAAUAAGCACCGGCUAACUUCGUG
rnacentral:rRNA from 1 species